GGGGUUAUAGCUCAAUGGUAGAGCACUCACCUAGCACGUGUGAGGCCCUGGGUUCAAUCCUCAGCACCA
rnacentral:tRNA from 1 species